rnacentral:rRNA from 1 species
GAUGAACGCUGGCGGCGUGCCUAAUACAUGCAAGUCGAGCGAACGGACGAGAAGGUUUCUUCUCUGAUUUUAGCGGCGGACGGGGGUGUAAAAUGUGUAUAACCUAGCUAUAAGACUGGGAUAACUUCGUGGAAACGGAGCUAAUACCGGCAUAUAGUUUGAACCGCAUGGUUGAAGAGUGAAAGGCGGUCUUGCUGUCACUGAUAGAUGGAUCCGCGCUGCAUUAGCUAGUUGGUAAGGUAACGGCUUACCAAGGCAACGAUGCCUAGCCGACCUGAGAGGGUGAUCGGCCACACUGGAACUGAGACACGGUCCAGACUCCUACGGGAGGCAGCAGUAGGGAAUCUUGCGCAAUGGGCGAAAGCCUGACGGAGCAACGCCGCGUGAGUGAUGAAGGUCUUCGGAUCGUAAAACACUGUUAUUAGGGAAGAACAUAUGUGUAAGUAACUGUGCACAUAUUGACGGUACCUAAUCAGAAAGCCACGGCUAACUACGUG